rnacentral:rRNA from 1 species
UUAACACAUGCAAGUCGAGGGGCAUCAGGAAGAAAGCUUGCUUUCUUUGCUGGCGACCGGCGCACGGGUGAGUAACACGUAUCCAACCUGCCCUUUACUCGGGGAUAGCCUUUCGAAAGAAAGAUUAAUACCCGAUAGUAUAAUGAUUCCGCAUGGUUUCAUUAUUAAAGGAUUCCGGUAAAGGAUGGGGAUGCGUUCCAUUAGGUUGUUGGUGAGGUAACGGCUCACCAAGCCUUCGAUGGAUAGGGGUUCUGAGAGGAAGGUCCCCCACAUUGGAACUGAGACACGGUCCAAACUCCUACGGGAGGCAGCAGUGAGGAAUAUUGGUCAAUGGGCGCUAGCCUGAACCAGCCAAGUAGCGUGAAGGAUGAAGGCUCUAUGGGUCGUAAACUUCUUUUAUAUAAGAAUAAAGUGCAGUACGUAUACUGUUUUGUAUGUAUUAUAUGAAUAAGGAUCGGCUAACUCCGUGCCAGCAGCCGCGGUAAUACGGAGGAUCCGAGCGUUAUCCGGAUUUAUUGGGUUUAAAGGGAGCGUAGGUGGACUGGUAAGUCAGUUGUGAAAGUUUGCGGCUCAACCGUAAAAUUGCAGUUGAUACUGUCAGUCUUGAGUACAGUAGAGGUGGGCGGAAUUCGUGGUGUAGCGGUGAAAUGCUUAGAUAUCACGAAGAACUCCGAUUGCGAAGGCAGCUCACUGGACUGCAACUGACACUGAUGCUCGAAAGUGUGGGUAUCAAACAGGAUUAGAUACGGUAGUC